rnacentral:rRNA from 1 species
AUUGAACGCUGGCGGCAGGCCUAACACAUGCAAGUCGAGCGGAGCGGCGGACGGGUGAGUAAUGCCUAGGAAUCUGCCUGGUAGUGGGGGAUAACGUCCGGAAACGGGCGCUAAUACCGCAUACUAUCAAAUGCGUCUAGGUCGGCUUAGCUAGUUGGUGGGGUAAAGGCCUACCAAGGCGACGAUCCGUACCUGGUCUGAGAGGAUGAUCAGUCACACUGGUACUGAGACACGGUCCAGACUCCUACGGGAGGCAGCAGUGGGGAAUAUUGGGCAAUGGGCGAAAGGCUGAUCCAGCCAUGCCGCGUGUGUGAAGAAGGUCUUCGGAUUGUAAAGCACUUUAAGUUGGGAGGCGGUACCUACCGAAUAAGCACCGGCUAACUACGUGCCAGCCGCCGCGGUAAUUC